rnacentral:tRNA from 1 species
GCCCCCGUAGCUCAGGGGAUAGAGCGCUGGUUUCCGGAACCAGGUGCACAGGUUCGAAUCCUGUCGGGGGUG